rnacentral:rRNA from 1 species
AUACGGGGGGUGCAAGCGUUGUCCGGAAUCAUUGGGCGUAAAGAGUUCGUAGGCGGCAUGUAAAGUCAGGUGUUAAAGGCAGAGGCUCAACUUCUGUAUGGCACUUGAUACUUGCAGGCUAGAAUGCGGUAGAGGUAAAGGGAAUUCCUGGUGUAGCGGUGAAAUGCAUAGAUAUCAGGAGGAACAUCGGUGGCGUAAGCGCUUUACUGGGCCGUGAUUGGCGCUGAGGAACGAAAGCCAGGGUAGC